UCCUCCCUAGCACGGUGAUGGUGCUUCCAUUGUACUUACCUUCGGUAAAUGCAAAGUUCAUGGUCAUUAAUAGACCAACCUCUUCUUGUGAUGCUGAUGCAUAAAAUCCCUGAGCUCUUCCGACAACUUUAGUGCUGAGAUUCGGGCCGAGAGUCAACGGAUUAUCGAUCAUGUUAACAGCACCAAAGCCAGUGAAGGAAGCGGUUUUCGGAGGUGGCACCACCAUGACUGAAGUAGGUGCUUUGCCACUGAGGAUGUCGUGCCAGUAGAACCUGAAAUGGCUUAGCUUUUCUUGCUUCAUCUUCAGUGCUGUGGGAUUAAUUGCUUUGACGAACUGGAAUUCUUCAUCACCAUAGGUGACCUGAAUGGUGAUGAUGGAAAAGAAGAUGAAGAUGGUAAGGAGAUGGAGGGCUGAAAUUCUAGCCAUGGAAUGGAAGGCAACGAAUUUCUUUUAGGAAAUUUGCUAAGGGUCCUUGAUUAUAUAUAUGCGUAUUGUGAGGGGAAUGACCAGAUACGAACAACUUUUGGAAGUAAUUCUUUUUGACAAUGUGCAAAGUAUUGCACGAGUUGUGCAAGCUCACAAAUAAUUUGUUGCAACAAAUAUAUUUAUGCUAGCAUACUAAAUUAGGACUUAAAAAUAGAAAUUUUCAUAUUGUAUUAUUUAGUAGUGCUUCAGACAAAUUAAAGUUUUAAUAUUACAUUAUUUAAUAGUGCUUUAGGCAAGUUAGGAUUUUUGUAACUCUAUUGGAAUCAAAUUAUAAUAGUUUUAUUAUUUAAAACUAGUAUUUUAUUAGAAAAUUUUUUAUGAUUAUAAAAUUUGUUUAUCAGAUCGUCCAGUUUAUAAUAAAAAAAUAGGGAGUCUUGUUGGUGUCAUCAGUUGACAAGAGUGGAUUUGAUAGCUUUGUUAUUAUGGCAUUUGAUAUAUUAUUAUUGGUACUAUUUUUCUUCUUUCACAUAUAUUUUUAUGUGUGUAAAUUGCCUCCCUUUAUACAUUAAGAUCAAAAUACCAAUUAAGAUCAAAAUUUCAUGAAUUAGAGGUCCUGCAAUGAAAUUGAAUCUUACUAAAUGUGAGCUCAUUUUAACUUAAUUGUUGGUUUUCGUCCUACUAUAUAUGAGUCAUUAAUUGUACUCUAGUUAAUGAUCAUUCAUCUAUAUUGAUCCUAGUAUUGGGUUUACCAGUACAUAUCUCUAGGUUUCUUUUAGUACUAUUUUCUACAUAUCUGUAAAUGACAACAAAUAACCAUGUGUCCACGUACUUAUAUGAGAUUGUGCACAAUGACGGAGCCAAUUAGGGGGCUGAGGGGGGCAUGGCCCCUCUAAGUUUUGAAAAUUUUAAUUUAUAGUAUGUAAAUAUAUGUAUAAGAUAAAGUUGGCCCCCUCAUUUUUUACAAUUUUAGUUUAUAUUAUGAGAGUUUAUAUAUAUGUGUGUGUCUGUGUCUGUGUGUCUGUGUGCGAAUUAGCCACCUUUGAUGUAAUUUUUUCUUCAAAAAAAAGUUAUUUAUUUUUUAUUGUGCUAAUUAUUUAACAUUCAAAAAAUUAAACAUAUAAUUUGAUGAUCCAUAGUAAAUUGACCCAAUUUGAUAUAUUAUAAUAAAGACUCAAUUCAUAAUUAUGAAUGGGCUAAAAUAAAAAUAAUUACAUUAUUGAUCCAUGUACAAAUAUACAACUUAGCCUAAUUGAUAAAAAAAUUUAAAAUUAGUGAUCUAUCCUCUUGUUGACCCAUAUACAAAUAUACAAAUAAUUACUUGAAGACUUGGUAAAGACAAGAAUUGAGUGAUCUAUCCUGUUGUUGACAGAUUGAUUAUAUUUCUUUUCACUCUUCAUGUAUCAAUACAACUAUAGAACGGGCAUUUUCAAUUAUAAAUAUAAUCAAAACAAAGCUCCAAAACAAGAUAAAAGACAAUUUCUGAAUGAUUGUCUAACAAUAUACAUAAAAAAAGGGAAGUUGUUCAAAAAUUUAGCACUGGAUUUAAUUAUAAUGAAUUUAGUUCUAUGAAUAAUGUAAAGCUCAAUAUACUUUUAAGAAAAGAGGUUGAAAUUUCAAGGUAUGCUAAUAACUUUUAUCUUUUUUAAUUGAAAAUAGUUAUAUUUAUAUUGCAUAAUUAUAUUUUUGUUUUUGCAUAAGUGAUGUAUUGGAUCAUCUUCUCAUAAUGUACAAUUUGGAUAGUUUGUGAUGUUAUAAGACAUUUAAUCAAAGAUUAUUUCUUAUCUUAAUUUUAGUUAUGACUAUGCUACAUAUUUAUGAAAUAGACAUACGUUUAUAAUUAAAGUUAAUAUUUGAUAUUUUAAGAUGCCAUAUAUUUAAAUAAUGAAAAUUAUUUUAAACAUAUAUAUUAAAAUAAUUUUGUUCGAAAAAUUUUGGCCCCAAGGAAAAAAUCCUGGCUCCGUCAUUGAUUGUGCAGCUAUACGUAUGCAAAAGAACUUCGAGUGUGUGUUUGUAGUUUCAAAGGAAUCGUGUCAUUUUCCAGUUGACAUUGGAUCCCACUUAUGUUGUGGAAGUUGGGGAUGGAUUCUGCCUGUCCCACUUUGGAUUUUAUGGACAUUUAGUAAAUUUCUCUAUCCCAAUUCCCAAUUCUUUUGUAGUCUUCAUUAGAAAACUAAUUUGGCUUAAAUUAUUGAUAAAACUUUUCAUUACAAGCUCCUUUUGAGUUGAAGAUUUUCGCAGCAACAACAGAGGUGGAAAAACUUUCUAGUCGGUAGCGAGACUAGUAGGUCAACAAAGAUCAAUUCCCUCGUGGUAUAUUGCCCACAUACCUACUCUUGUUGACAAGUUCUUCCACAGCAUGCUAUUCCCCAUUCAAUUUCUCAAUGAGAAUGCGGAAAAAUUGAUCUUAAAGCAACGAAAAUGUAAACACUGUCAAAGUAGAAGUGUAUGAUGACUGAUCAUAACUAAGAGUAGAAGUCUUUUGCCUAUGCACGAAGUCUAUCAUGAAGGAUCUUUCUGUCAUAAAUUUCUUGGACCACCUACAAAUUCGACAAGUGCAUGAUGACAUGAUACAAUACAAGAGGAGUAGGCUUGUUUCCAUUUUCAGUUCUGAAGUAUGCAUUCAAGAAAGUUUUACUCCUUUUUUGUCUUUUAAAGGAAGGUUUUUAAUAAAGAAGGGACUGUGUUAUUGACAUUUUAGUGUUUUCAUUUAAUGUUAUUGCAUUAUAAUCACUGAACUUUGGCUGAGUGGUCACCAACUUUUGGGCUGUAAGUCAGAGGUUCGAAUUCCAUCUGCAGUGGAAAAAAAUUCAAAAGAGGUUACCGGAAUGUUAUCUGUAUACCUAUUAGCCCUUACUUAGUUUCUUUAGACUUCUCUUCCCUGUAAUAUAAGAUAGAUUAGGUUACAGGAAUGUUAUCGUUAUGAUAAAAAAAAAAGUUAUUGCAUUAUGGUUUUUUCCAUUUCGCAUAAAAUAUGCACAUUAAAAAAAGAGAGUAGAUCAACUAUUAAUAAACUUACGAUUAUCACUUACCUCUUGAAUUGUAAUAUUUUGCAUAAAAAGUUUAUCUUUUUGUCAAAAUAUAGCAGUGAAUCCACUUCUUAUUAGAGUACGAAAUAGACAAACUCUUUUGUUAUAUACAUCAGUUAUACCAUUGCAAAGCAAAAAAGAGAGAACCAUUGCAAAGCCAAAAAAAAAAGAAAAAAAAUAAAUGGUCUGAUUGCACAUUAUUAAGUCAUGGGUCGUAAUAUAUAUUCAUAUCCAUGUGAAUUUCUAUGACAAAACAACAUCUAAGCUGAUUUAUGAAUCAGCAACCUUUUGAGUGCAAUUUAUCAUUUAUGAUUCAUGUUCACAAAAUUUUCUUGAUUAACAUUCAUUUUGUAAUUUGUAGUUUGCAAAUUGUGAUACACAGUCUUGUUAUAGAUACUUUUAACAGCAACAGCAAUGAAUUGUCUAUCUCAUAUGAGGGAUUGGUAGAAACUACAAAAAUUACUCAUAGAACAGUAAACGAGUACAACAUUGAUUGGAUAUAUUAUGCCCCACAAAAUUUCUAGCAGAAAUACCAAGAGACAAAAAGAAAACAAAAGCAAAGGAAAAAGUCCGAUCUCUAAGGGAAAACAAUCCCACGAUCAUCAAUAAUGCAUAACAUAGAUGUUGUACUCAACAACAGCAUCACCAGUCUUGGGGUCAAAGUUGUGGGUUGAUGCCUGAGCAUAACCAUUAGCAAAUCGGAAAAGCCCACUUCCGCCGACCACCGGCAUCUCCCUCACCUUUUUGAGCACCGGAUUCCUCCCUAACACGGUGAGGGUGCUUCCAUUAUACUUACCUUCAGUGAAAGCAAAGUUCAUGGUCAUCAAGAAGCCAAUUUCCUCCUGUGAAGCUGAUGCAUAAAACCCUUGAGCCCUCCGACCAAUUUUGAGCUGAGCUCCGGGCCGACAGUUAAAGGAUUAUCGAUCAUGUUCACCAGGCCAAAAGCAGUGAAUGAAUUGGUUUUCGGAGGUGGCACCACCAUGACUGAAGUAGGUGCUUUGCCACUGAGGAUGUCGUGCCAGUAGAACCUGAAAAGGCUUAGCUUUUCUUUCUUCAUCUUUAGUGCUACUUUUGGAUCAAUUGCUUUGACAAA
rnacentral:lncRNA from 1 species